ACACCAGACUUGCCCACCCCUUAUUCUGCACCAUUUUUAGAGGUGCCAAAAGAUGCCCUUAGCGGGCAUCACUCAGAGUAACCCUGUCAAGCUUUCGCCUAUUGCAGAGGUUUCGCGCCUGGUGCAAUCGUCGAC
rnacentral:rRNA from 1 species